UUUAAGCGCAAACAUAAAUUUUUAUGUCCAAUUUUGAUCGUUCGUUUUAUUUGAAAUGUUUUUAUAAUUAGUAUUUUUGUUGUUAUUAGAUGAUAAAACAUGAAUAGUACUUUAUGCAUGACUUUUUUUAAUUGUUUUUUUUAAAAAAUGAAUUAGAUGGAUGAUUAAAGUUGAACACGGAGAGUCAUGGUUGCGCUUAAA
rfam:Oryza glumipatula chromosome 11, whole genome shotgun sequence.